CCAAUAGCGUAUAUUAAAGUUGUUGCAGUUAAAAAGCUCGUAGUUGAAUUUCGGGGUCAAUACGUCGGUCGUGCCUCGGUACGUACUAACGUUAUUGAUCCCUCCCUUCUGACGAACCGUGAUGUCAUUAAUUUGGUGUUGCGGGGAAUCAGGACUGUUACCUUGAAAAAAUUAGAGUGUUUAAAGCAGGCAAUCGCUCGAAUACAUUAGCAUGGAAUAAUGAAAUAGGACGUUCGAACCUAUUUUGUUGGUUUCUAGGAUCGACGUAAUGAUUAAUAGGGAUAGUUGGGGGCAUUAGUAUUCAAUUGUCAGAGGUGAAAUUCUUGGAUUUAUUGAAGACUAACUACUGCGAAAGCAUUUGUCAAGGAUGUUUUCAUUAAUCAAGAACGAAAGUUAGGGGAUCGAAGACGAUCAGAUACCGUCGUAGUCUUAACCAUAAACUAUGCCGACUAGGGAUCGGAUGAUGUUAAUUUUAUAAUGACUCAUUCGGCGCCUUACG
rnacentral:rRNA from 1 species